ACCCUGUUAAAUUACACAGUGACUUGAAGAACAGCGCGCGUCAUAAAAUUAAUGAAGAUUUGGAAAUGAUUAAGUUGGAGCCAAAACAAACAAAUCUAGGUUUUAAGAGAGUUAAAAGAUUAAAUAGAUGAUAUGGCGUACAGUAACACUGUAGUCUGAGACGCAGUCCAAAUUCUAGCUCGUGUAACUACAGUUUCAACAAAAGUAGGAAGUAAGGAAUAUAAGAGAUAUUUAAAAACUAGCACAAAUUUGGUUAUCGAUGGAGGUUAUAUGCUGCUUUUAAUUAGCAGUAUGACAGAUCAUAUAAUAACCACUAAUGAGACACCAGUAAGUAACAAACAUAAAAUCCAGUUUCUUUAGACUUACUUAUUGUGAAGCAUAUUGCAUGACAUACACUUUAUUAUUUAAUAAAUAGUCAGUCACUUCUAGCAUAGUAAAAUAAGAAAAAUAUGGUAACUCCGUACAAAGUAACAAAGCUGCUAUAUGUGCGCGACCGCCGCGCUCCGUGUACGGACACAACAUCCGUAUAAUAAUGAAAGGUGCGUGUGAUGUUAUGCAACGCAAGUGCAUCGCGAGAUUAUUCUAAUGCGUGCGUCCGUAUACAGUGCGCG